UUCUAUUGUCUUUCAGGGCGUUAUGAGUCCUACGCCGGCCUGAGUGCAGCAGAGGAUUGUGGGAUACUGCACGGCUGUGAGAACAGCAGGUGUAUUCGUGUUGCCGAGGGUUACACCUGUGACUGUUACCAAGGAUACGAACUGGACAUGACCUCCAUGACGUGUAUAGAUAUAAACGAAUGUGAGGACGGAGUCAGCGUGGACUUCCCGUGCGUGAACGCUCGCUGCGUGAACACAGACGGCUCGUUCCGCUGCGUCUGCAGGAGAGGAUACGUCAUGUCCCGCAGACCAAACUACUGUGUGGCUGCGUAGACCGGACCGGUCUGGACUGGGCUCGAUUUACACCAGUAUAAACUGGUCUAGACAAUCUACUAGACUACAAUAGAUUAGACUAGACUUGGGCUUUACUACAGGGCCAUAUCUCAUAAACUCAAUGCCCUUUUUUAACGCCAUACUCUCUAUGACGGCUGAUUUCUGUAUUUAUAUGUCGUGGGGAGAAUGUAGGUUGGGGGGGCAGGGUGUCGCAGCGUCACAGAUCUUAACAAAUGUUUUUGGUUGUAGUGGACAUAAUUACUGGAUUUUCUCUGGAGAAGAAAAAUAACUACAGAAUGGGAACAGGAUUAACGGAUAGUAUAAUAAAGUGACGGUAAACAUAAUUUACUAGCUCAAAAAUUAAA